GCUUACAUGGCUCAGUUGGUUAGAGCGCAAGACUCACAAAUAAAUAGUGAUGUUAGUUCGAUCCUCAUCCGAAGCA